rnacentral:rRNA from 2 species
CGGUAAUACGUAGGUGGCAAGCGUUAUCCGGAUUUAUUGGGCGUAAAGAGAGUGCAGGCGGUUUUCUAAGUCUGAUGUGAAAGCCUUCGGCUUAACCGGAGAAGUGCAUCGGAAACUGGAUAACUUGAGUGCAGAAGAGGGUAGUGGAACUCCAUGUGUAGCGGUGGAAUGCGUAGAUAUAUGGAAGAACACCAGUGGCGAAGGCGGCUACCUGGUCUGCAACUGACGCUGAGACUCGAAAGCAUGGGUAGCGAACAGGAUUAGAUACCCUGGUAGUCCAUGCCGUAAACGAUGAGUGCUAGGUGUUGGAGGGUUUCCGCCCUUCAGUGCCGGAGCUAACGCAUUAAGCACUCCGCCUGGGGAGUACGACCGCAAGGUUGAAACUCAAAGGAAUUGACGGGGGCCCGCACAAGCGGUGGAGCAUGUGGUUUAAUUCGAAGCUACGCGAAGAACCUUACCAGGUCUUGACAUCUUGCGCCAACCCUAGAGAUAGGGCGUUUCCUUCGGGAACGCAAUGACAGGUGGUGCAUGGUCGUCGUCAGCUCGUGUCGUGAGAUGUUGGGUUAAGUCCCGCAACGAGCGCAACCCUUGUUACUAGUUGCCAGCAUUAAGUUGGGCACUCUAGUGAGACUGCCGGUGACAAACCGGAGGAAGGUGGGGACGACGUCAGAUCAUCAUGCCCCUUAUGACCUGGGCUACACACGUGCUACAAUGGACGGUACAACGAGUCGCGAACUCGCGAGGGCAAGCAAAUCUCUUAAAACCGUUCUCAGUUCGGACUGCAGGCUGCAACUCGCCUGCACGAAGUCGGAAUCGCUAGUAAUCGCGGAUCAGCAUGCCGCGGUGAAUACGUUCCCGGGCCUUGUACACACCGCCCGUCACACCAUGAGAGUUUGUAACACCCAAAGUCGGUGGGGUAACC